rnacentral:misc_RNA from 1 species
GAUGAAGAACGUAGCGAAAUGCGAUAAGUAGUGUGAAUUGCAGAAUUCAGUGAAUCAUCGAAUCUUUGAACGCACAUUGCGCCCCUUGGUAUUCCAUGGGGCAUGCCUGUUCGAGCGUCAUUUGUACCUUCAAGCUAUGCUUGGUGUUGGGUGUUUGUCCUCUCCCUGCGUUUGGACUCGCCUUAAAGCGAUUGGCAGCCUAUAUUUGGUUUUGAGCGCAGCACAUUUUGUGUCUUACUACUUAUUCUAUAGGCACCCAUUAAGCCUUUUAUCACGUUUGACCUCGGAUCAGGUAGGGAUACCCGCUGAACUUAAGCAUAUCAAUAAGCGGAGGA